rnacentral:rRNA from 1 species
UACAGAGACUGCAAGCGUUAUUCGGAUUCACUGGGCGUAAAGGGUGCGCAGGCGGCCAAGUGUGUCAGGUGUGAAAUCCCGAGGCUUAACCUCGGAACUGCGCCUGAAACUACUUGGCUAGAGUACUGGAGAGGGUAACGGAAUUCACGGUGUAGCAGUGAAAUGCGUAGAGAUCGUAAGGAAGACCAGUGGCGAAGGCGAGUCUCUGGACAGAUUCUGACGCUGAGGCACGAAGGCCAGGGGAGCAAACGGG